CGGGUGAUUAGAGAGAUGGUAAUAAUAUAAUAAUAAUAAUAAUAAUAAUAAUCGUUUAUUCAUACUUUUGUAGCAUAAGCUAAAUUACAGUAUGUCGGCCGAUGCACACUACACUUAACAAUGUAUAAAUAAAUACUGGAAUAACUACUGGAAACGAAUUGUGAUAAAGUUAUUAUACCUUUCAGUUACACAUCUGGACAUCUGGCUUUGGGAAGAGCAUUCAUGGGCAUUUUUCAUUGAACUAGUAUUGCGAUGCUUAUUUACGGCGGAGUGAUUUCUCAUUCAUGUAUGUCUUUCCUCUCGCCGAUUUCUGGUAUUGCUCGGGCAAUACCGGCAAUACCGGUUCCGCGGUCCCUGCAUCACUAUUUUUUUCCUGUUCAUCAUAGUUCAAAGUAUAUAUUUUGCCAUCAUCACUCUGAUCUUUAAAAGCAAUAGAUGCAAUGUCCAGACCAAAUGUCUUUGAGAACCAGAGAGCACAUUGAGCUCUCUCUUUUAGCUGUUUAAGUUUUCUUGAUUUUUGUUUUGUACCAACCUCAGAAAUCUUUUUUGAAGAACAACACAAUUUUUCAUCCCCUUCCUCUAAUGCCAGUGCAUAAGCUUUGAGUUCUUCAUUUAGUGCUUCUAAAACUUCAAUUUCUUCACAAUUUGUUUGUUGAACUUGCUUAAGCUCUUCCAAAAGUGUUUUUUUUCUGCAACUCCAAAUCAGUGCAUUUAUUUUUCCAUUCUUGAAGUUCCAGAUUCACAUCUUCCUAUUCAUCUCUGAGCUUUGAGAUAGAUUCAAGCUCUUUUGAAAGGAUACUGAAUUCUGCAUAUCUUUUAUCCAGUUCCCUUCUGUUCCUUCCACCUUUGCACUUCUUAUAGAGGGAGAGAACUUUUCCAGUUUCCCUUCUUAGAUUUUCUUCCAACCGUCCACUUGAUCCCUUUGCAAUAGCCCAACAGUGUCCAGGUACUGUGGCAUUGAGCAGGUCUGUUAGACUAUAACAGCUUCCAUCUGAGGUACUUUUUUUUGAAAAAUUAUUCCAUAUUUUGAACAAAGGAAAUGGAACCUUAACAGUGAAAGCAACUUCAAAUAGCUUUGCAGAUUCUCCAGUUAAAUAAGCAAAUGAACUCCUUGGAUUAAUCUCUGAAUCAAAUUUUAAUUUCCAAUCUAUUGCUUGUUUAGAGUAUUCGGAUAAAAUCUCAGACAUAUUUUGUUGCUCUUAGUUAGCUCUGCUAGCUCAGUGUUGGAAUUUUAUUAACCACAGGAAUCCCAUUAUUUAUUUGAUUAAGUAAAAAGCAAUAUAAUGUACAAAAAUAUUCGAGAAUCUAAAUAUUAGAUAUUGUUUUGAAGGAUCAUGAAUGCAAUGAGUACACUGGCCUUGAUAACUUCGUCCUACAUGGCGAAUUUAUUAUAAUUUAUUAUACUUUCUCUUGCCUCUCUUAUACCCCCACGAAUCUUUUUUGCACCUUUUAGGCCUGGUUACAUAGGCUUAAAAUGGCGGAGAAAGAAGUGGUUUAGUAGCAUUUACUCGAAGAUUUCAGAGGUUUUUCUCAAGCUACAAACCGCGGUACCUCAGAUUCAGAUAGCAAUACUUAAAGAAUGAAAUUCAGGGACUUCGACAGAGUUUUGCCCGUUCCAAAUGAUUAUCAAUUGCCAUUAAAAAUGGCUGUUUCACGAGAUCAUGCUGCCUUCGAUAACAUGGGAAGACCGCGUAAUCGAUUCAUCGAUGUGCUGCAACAUCAUUUCAUGUAUUUGGUGAACUACUAUUACAAGUUUGAAGAAAAUCCACGGAGAGUUUUAUGGUAUAUUUAGCUAUAAUAUUGCCCGAUCAAAACUUCCAUGAAAGCCUCAAAAACCAAUCCUGACAUGCGCCGUAAAAAUAGCCGCCAUAUUGUCCCUGAUUUUUGGUAAUGCUUCAUCCUCCAUGCGUCUGCUUACAAAAGGAGCGUAGACAAUGCAGCACUCUUGGGUCUGUGAAGUGCUCAAUGCACAAAGAACACGUGACUUCAUCCUCCAUGCGUCUGCUCACAAAAGGAGCGUAGACAAUGCAGCACUCUUGGGUCGGUGAAGUGCUCAAUGCACAAAGAACACGUGACUUCAUCCUCCAUGCGCCUGCUUACAAAAGGAGUGUAGAGAAUGCAACACUCUUGGGUCUGUGAAGUGCUCAAUGCACAAAGAACACGUGACUUCAUCCUCCAUGCGUCUGCUUACAAAAGGAGCGUAGACAAUGCAGCACUCUUGGGUCUGUGAAGUGCUCAAUGCACAAAGAACACGUGACUUCAUCCUCCAUGCGUCUGCUCACAAAAGGAGCGUAGACAAUGCAGCACUCUUGGGUCGGUGAAGUGCUCAAUGCACAAGGAAUAUGUGACUUCAUCCUCCAUGCGUCUGCUUACAAAAGGAGUGUAGACAAUGCAGCACUCUUGGGUCGGUGAAGUGCUCAAUGCACAAAGAACACGUGACUUCAUCCUCCAUGCGCCUGCUUACAAAAGGAGCGUAGACAAUGCAGCACUCUUGGGUCUGUGAAGUGCUCAAUGCACAAAGAACACGUGACUUCAUCCUCCAUGCGUCUGCUUACAAAAGGAGCGUAGACAAUGCAGCACUCUUGGGUCGGUGAAGUGCUCAAUGCACAAAGAACACGUGACUUCAUCCUCCAUGCGCCUGCUUACAAAAGGAGUGUAGAGAAUGCAACACUCUUGGGUCUGUGAAGUGCUCAAUGCACAAAGAACACGUGACUUCAUCCUCCAUGCGUCUGCUUACAAAAGGAGCGUAGACAAUGCAGCACUCUUGGGUCUGUGAAGUGCUCAAUGCACAAAGAACACGUGACUUCAUCCUCCAUGCGUCUGCUUACAAAAGGAGCGUAGACAAUGCAGCACUCUUGGGUCUGUGAAGUGCUCAAUGCACAAGGAAUAUGUGACUUCAUCCUCCAUGCGUCUGCUUACAAAAGGAGCGUAGACAGUGCAACACUCUUGGGUCGGUGAAGUGCUCAAUGCACAAAGAACACGUGACUUCAUCCUCCAUGCGCCUGCUUACAAAAGGAGCGUAGACAAUGCAGCACUCUUGGGUCUGUGAAGUGCUCAAUGCACAAAGAACACGUGACUUCAUCCUCCAUGCGUCUGCUUACAAAAGGAGCGUAGACAAUGCAGCACUCUUGGGUCGGUGAAGUGCUCAAUGCACAAAGAACACGUGACUUCAUCCUCCAUGCGCCUGCUUACAAAAGGAGUGUAGAGAAUGCAACACUCUUGGGUCUGUGAAGUGCUCAAUGCACAAAGAACACGUGACUUCAUCCUCCAUGCGUCUGCUUACAAAAGGAGCGUAGACAAUGCAGCACUCUUGGGUCUGUGAAGUGCUCAAUGCACAAAGAACACGUGACUUCAUCCUCCAUGCGUCUGCUCACAAAAGGAGCGUAGACAAUGCAGCACUCUUGGGUCGGUGAAGUGCUCAAUGCACAAGGAAUAUGUGACUUCAUCCUCCAUGCGUCUGCUUACAAAAGGAGUGUAGACAAUGCAGCACUCUUGGGUCGGUGAAGUGCUCAAUGCACAAAGAACACGUGACUUCAUCCUCCAUGCGCCUGCUUACAAAAGGAGCGUAGACAAUGCAGCACUCUUGGGUCUGUGAAGUGCUCAAUGCACAAAGAACACGUGACUUCAUCCUCCAUGCGUCUGCUUACAAAAGGAGCGUAGACAAUGCAGCACUCUUGGGUCGGUGAAGUGCUCAAUGCACAAAGAACACGUGACUUCAUCCUCCAUGCGCCUGCUUACAAAAGGAGUGUAGAGAAUGCAACACUCUUGGGUCUGUGAAGUGCUCAAUGCACAAAGAACACGUGACUUCAUCCUCCAUGCGUCUGCUUACAAAAGGAGCGUAGACAAUGCAGCACUCUUGGGUCUGUGAAGUGCUCAAUGCACAAAGAACACGUGACUUCAUCCUCCAUGCGUCUGCUUACAAAAGGAGCGUAGACAAUGCAGCACUCUUGGGUCUGUGAAGUGCUCAAUGCACAAGGAAUAUGUGACUUCAUCCUCCAUGCGUCUGCUUACAAAAGGAGCGUAGACAAUGCAACACUCUUGGGUCGGUGAAGUGCUCAAUGCACAAAGAACACGUGACUUCAUCCUCCAUGCGCCUGCUUACAAAAGGAGCGUAGACAAUGCAGCACUCUUGGGUCUGUGAAGUGCUCAAUGCACAAAGAACACGUGACUUCAUCCUCCAUGCGUCUGCUUACAAAAGGAGCGUAGACAAUGCAGCACUCUUGGGUCUGUGAAGUGCUCAAUGCACAAGGAAUAUGUGACUUCAUCCUCCAUGCGCCUGCUUACAAAAGGAGCGUAGACAAUGCAACACUCUUGGGUCUGUGAAGUGCUCAAUGCACAAAGAACACGUGACUUCAUCCUCCAUGCGCCUGCUUACAAAAGGAGCGUAGACAAUGCAACACUCUUGGGUCGGUGAAGUGCUCAAUGCACAAGGAAUAUGUGACUUCAUUCUCCAUGCGCUUGCUCACAAAAGGAGCGUAGACAAUGCAGCAGGGCAGUAUUUCAGUCUUCCUGUCUAAGAAAGCCCUUUGUGCGCAGACUGAAGUAUAAAACCAACUUUCGCCGUAAACACAACCGUUGCACACUGCCAAAA